CAGUCGCCGCGGUAAUACGUAGGUGGCAAGCGUUGUCCGGAAUUAUUGGGCGUAAAGGGCUCGCAGGCGGUUUCUUAAGUCUGAUGUGAAAACCCCCGGCUCAACCGGGGAGGGUCAUUGGAAACUGGGAAACUUGAGUGCAGAAGAGGAGAGUGGAAUUCCACGUGUAGCGGUGAAAUGCGUAGAGAUGUGGAGGAACACCAGUGGCGAAGGCGACUCUCUGGUCUGUAACUGACGCUGAGGAGCGAAAGCGUGGGGAGCGAACAGGAUUAGAUACCCGUGUAGUCCCUGUCUCUUAUAC
rnacentral:rRNA from 1 species